CAGAUUAGACUAAUAAAUGCAUACCUAUCUUUUUUCAAUGCGUGCACUUAAUCUUUGUACAGUGGGUCGUGAAUGUGUUAGCAUUUAGCCUAGCCCCAUUCAUUCCUUAGGAUCCUAAUAGGGAUGAAUUUAGAAGCUACCAAACACUUCCAUAUUUUCCCUAUUUAAAGACUGUUACAUGAGUAGUUACACGAAAAAGUAUGGAGGCAUAAAUAAAAUGCGGAUAAAAAAUGGGAACUAUAUUCUAUGGCAGAAGAGCAUCUAGUUUGCGGCACUUCGAUCUUGGGAGCAGUAAUAUUAACAAAAGUUUGAGCGAGAGGGGGAGGAGUCAGGAGUGAUGAUGUUACUGCGCGCCGAUGUCGAAGUGCUGCAAACUAAUUAACUAAUAUUGUGAUUAAGCGCAGUGUGAAAGCCUUUAUGAGAUCAUUUUUAUGUCAUGUAUUGACCUCUACCUAAUAUUUGUGUAUUGUAUUUGUGUUUUAGAUUCAGUCGUCAGCUGGUCAGAUCAAGUAUGCUGGACCUGUUGACUGUGCACUCAAAUUAUAUAAGCAACAGGGAAUAUGCAGUGUUUACAAGGGCACUGUACUGACUCUAAUCAGAGAUGUGCCUUCAAAUGGUUUAUACUUUCUUACAUACGAGUACCUUAAAAAAGCUCUGACCACUGAAGGACAGAGUGUUUCUCAGCUGAGCACAUGGAGAGUUCUUCUGGCAGGUGGGGUCGCUGGAGUUUUAAACUGGCUGGUUGCAUUGCCUGCAGAUGUGCUGAAGUCAAAGUACCAAACAGGUAUGAAACACAGGCUGUGUCCGAAAUAGCCCCCU